GAUGAACGCUAGCGGCAGGCUUAACACAUGCAAGUCGAGGGGUAACAGGUCUUCGGACGCUGACGACCGGCAAACGGGUGCGGAACACGUACGCAACAUACCCACUACAGGGGGAUAGCCCGGAGAAAUCCGGAUUAACACCCCAUAGUAUGCUUGGAGGGCAUCCUUUAAGCAUUAAAAAUUUAUUGGUAGUGGAUUGGCGUGCGUCUCAUUAGAUAGUUGGCGGGGUAACGGCCCACCAAGUCAGCGAUGGGUAGCUGGUGUGAGAGCACGACCAGCCACACGGGCACUGAGACACGGGCCCGACUCCUACGGGAGGCAGCAGUGAGGAAUAUUGGUCAAUGGGCGCAAGCCUGAACCAGCCAUGCCGCGUGGAGGAUGACAGCCUUCUGGGUUGUAAACUUCUUUUAAAUGGGAAGAAAAGCGAGGUUUCUACUUUGUCCGACGGUACCAUAUGAAUAAGCACCGGCUAACUCCGUGCCAGCAGCCGCGGUAAUACGGAGGGUGCG
rnacentral:rRNA from 1 species